GGCGGACGGGUGAGUAACACGUGGAUAACCUACCUAUAAGACUGGGAUAACUUCGGGAAACCGGAGCUAAUACCGGAUAAUAUUUUGAACCGCAUGGUUCAAAAGUGAAAGACGGUCUUGCUGUCACUUAUAGAUGGAUCCGCGCUGCAUUAGCUAGUUGGUAAGGUAACGGCUUACCAAGGCAACGAUGCAUAGCCGACCUGAGAGGGUGAUCGGCCACACUGGAACUGAGACACGGUCCAGACUCCUACGGGAGGCAGCAGUAGGGAAUCUUCCGCAAUGGGCGAAAGCCUGACGGAGCAACGCCGCGUGAGUGAUGAAGGUCUUCGGAUCGUAAAACUCUGUUAUUAGGGAAGAACAUAUGUGUAAGUAACUGUGCACAUCUUGACGGUACCUAAUCAGAAAGCCACGGCUAACUACGUGCCAGCAGCCGCGGUAAUACGUAGGUGGCAAGCGUUAUCCGGAAAUUAUUGGGCGUAAAGCGCGCGUAGGCGGUUUUUUAAGUCUGAUGUGAAAGCCCACGGCUCAACCGUGGAGGGUCAUUGGAAACUGGAAAACUUGAGUGCAGAAGAGGAAAGUGGAAUUCCAUGUGUAGCGGUGAAAUGCGCAGAGAUAUGGAGGAACACCAGUGGCGAAGGCGACUUUCUGGUCUGUAACUGACGCUGAUGUGCGAAAGCGUGGGGAUCAAACAGGAUUAGAUACCCUGGUAGUCCACGCCGUAAACGAUGAGUGCUAAGUGUUAGGGGGUUUCCGCCCCUUAGUGCUGCAGCUAACGCAUUAAGCACUCCGCCUGGGGAGUACGACCGCAAGGUUGAAACUCAAAGGAAUUGACGGGGACCCGCACAAGCGGUGGAGCAUGUGGUUUAAUUCGAAGCAACGCGAAGAACCUUACCAAAUCUUGACAUCCUUUGACAACUCUAGAGAUAGAGCCUUCCCCUUCGGGGGACAAAGUGACAGGUGGUGCAUGGUUGUCGUCAGCUCGUGUCGUGAGAUGUUGGGUUAAGUCCCGCAACGAGCGCAACCCUUAAGCUUAGUUGCCAUCAUUAAGUUGGGCACUCUAAGUUGACUGCCGGUGACAAACCGGAGGAAGGUGGGGAUGACGUCAAAUCAUCAUGCCCCUUAUGAUUUGGGCUACACACGUGCUACAAUGGACAAUACAAAGGGCAGCGAAACCGCGAGGUCAAGCAAAUCCCAUAAAGUUGUUCUCAGUUCGGAUUGUAGUC
rnacentral:rRNA from 1 species